UACGAAGGGGGCUAGCGUUGUUCGGAAUUACUGGGCGUAAAGCGUGCGCAGGCGGUCUUUCAAGUCAGGGGUGAAAGCCCAGAGCUCAACUCUGGAAUUGCCUUUGAAACUGUAAGGCUUGAGUGCGGGAGAGGUGAGUGGAAUUCCCAGUGUAGAGGUGAAAUUCGUAGAUAUUGGGAAGAACACCGGUGGCGAAGGCGGCUCACUGGCCCGUUUCUGACGCUCAUGCACGAUAGCGUGGGGAUCAAACAGG
rnacentral:rRNA from 1 species